UUCUCCCUUUGACACAUGGAAACCAUGCUCAGCCCCUUCAGUCUUUUUGAAGCCACUUGGCUGCAAUCCCCUUGUUACACGUAUCUUGCGCUCUCUUUUGGUUUAUUUUAGCCUUGAGUCUCCAUCUUUCUCACUGUUCAGUAACCAAGCCAAGCAAAAGUGUUGCAGCGCGCUCUUAGCACAGUAGCAUCUAAUCAGUUUCUCAAGAUGGCGUUAUUUACAAUAGUCUUGACGACGGGAGUACCGGUGGGCCUCUUGGUCAUUAAGGACCCGUACAUCUGGCCGUACGAAUUGGAAACUAGUACCCAUUGUUUUUUAUUUUAGCCAGAGGCCGUACGUAGCAAUAGAUAUAGUUGUAGCAGUACUAAACUUGGGACUCCAUUAUAGAUGAGACCGCUUGAAAAGAAAAGUCUAACUUGUGAAGCUUUUGUUAUGUAAACUGUACAUCUUUUGUUAUUUUGUAUACUUUACCGUCCUAUAUAUAGGAGGACAUUGACAACUGUAGUACCAAGGACAUAAUCUCCCUAUAGUAGUUUUCUUUGUUUAUACUCCUUGAAGGAAAUGUAAUGAACUUUUGAUUCCCAAUAUAUAUACUGUGGAAGAUAUUCUAA